rnacentral:rRNA from 2 species
AGAAGCACAAGGGCACACGGAGGAUGACUCGACAUGAGAAGCCGAUGAAGGACGUAGCAGCCUGCGAUAAGCCUCGGGGAGGUGGCAAGCAACCUUUGAUCCGGGGAUUUCCGAAUGGGGAAACCCACUUUGUUGGAAGAACAAAGUAUCUUGCGCUGAAUACAUAGGCGUUUGAAGGGAACCUGGCGAAGUGAAACAUCUCAGUAGCCAGAGGAACAGAAAACAAUCGCUGACUUUAAGUAUUCGGCUCCCAACUUCUGAGUCGAAUACUUAUUAGUCAGUUUAUUCCCUGAGUAGUGGCGAGCGAAAGGGGAACAGUCCAAACCUCGUAGACCAAGUGUGGAAGAUAUUUUACCUUCGGGUAUUGUUGAAUCCGCACCAAAGGCUGUAAGGCCAUAUGUCUGCGGGGGGUUGUGGGUGAUAGCGUUCAAAGCGCUUACACGCUUUGGUAAACACAGGUGUCUUCCCUAGUAGAAUCCGCUGGAAAGCGGAGCCAGAGAGGGUGAUAGCCCCGUAUGCGAAAGGGGAUUCCGUUUUAUUGCUUUCAACCUAGAGUACCACGGGACUCGUGAAAUCCUGUGGGAAUCAGCCACGACUAUGUGGCAAGGCUAAAUACUUCUUAUGAUCGAUAGUGAACCAGUACCGUGAGGGAAAGUUGAAAAGUAUCCCGGAAGGGAGAUGAAAUAGUAUCUGAAACCGUGUGCUUACAAGAAGUUGGAGCCCUCACACCUAUUUGGGCGAGUGCGUUCGGUUAUUCACGGUCGUAAGGCGAAGCCGCCUUCGGCUAUGGCCGUGGAUUAUCGUUUGGCAUUUGUAAAAAUAGGUGUGGGGGUGACAGCGUUCCUAUUGAAGAAUGAGCCAACGAGUUUGACAUACGUUGCCGGUUAAGUUCCUGCGGGAACGGAGCCAUAGUGAAAGCGAGCCUUAACGGGCGAAUUAUGGUAGCGUGUGCAAGACCCGAAGCCGGGUGACCUAACCAUGGCCAGGGCGAAGCUCCGUUAAUCCGGAGUGGAGGCCCGAACCCACGCGUCGUGCAACACGCGGGGAUGAGCUGUGGUUAGCGGUGAAAUGCCAAUCGAACCCGGUAAUAGCUGGUUCUCCUCGAAAUAGCUUUAGGGCUAGCGUCAAUUAAUAGUCUUACGGGGGUAGAGCACUGAAUGGAAGCGAGGGGGCAACCUACUCCUUCUAACCAAACUCCGAAUACCGUAAGAUGUUCCUGGCAGUUAGACUAUGGGGGCUAAGCUCCAUCAGUCAAAAGGGAAACAGCCCAGAUCUCAGUCUAAGGUCCCUAAAUCUAAGUUAAGUGUAAAAGGUGGUGAAGUGACUUAUACAACCAGGAGGUUGGCUUAGAAGCAGCCAUCCUUUAAAGAAAGCGUAACAGCUCACUGGUCAAGUUGCCUUGCGCCGAAAAUGUAACGGGGCUCAAACUUGGUACCGAAGACGAGGCAGCAUACCUUCGGGUAUGCUGGGUAGAGGAGCAUUUCCAUCAGCGUUGAAGUCGAAUCGUGAGGUUCGGUGGAGCGGUGGGAAGAGAGAAUGUUGGCAUGAGUAGCAAAAAGAAGGGUGAGAAUCCCUUCCGCCGUAAACCCAAGGUUUCCUGGGCAACGUCAAUCGACCCAGGGUUAGUCGGGCCUAAGGUGAGGCCGAAAGGCGUAGCCGAUGGACGAGCAGGUUAAUAUUCCUGCACUACCUAAGAGCGUGAUGGGGGGACGUUUCGUCAGAUCUCUUGCGUAUUUUGGCUAUAUGCGUAGGGCGUUUGGGGGCGGUUCGUAGGCAAAUCCGCGAACCACAAACCUCUGGACGAGCUAAAGGUGACUUCGGUUGCCGAUUUGAGACGAGACGGGGCCAAGAAAAACCUCUAACAUUAAACUUUUAGGUAUCCGUACCGCAAACCGACACAGGUGGGUGGGCAUAAGUGUGCUAAGGCGUACGAGAGAACCCUCGUUAAGGAACUCGGCAAAACAGCGGCCGUAACUUCGGGAUAAGGCCUGCCUCCACAUCGGAGGCCGCAGCUAAAGACUCCUGGCGACUGUUUACCAAAAACACAGGUCCCUGCUAAACCGUAAGGUGAUGUAUAGGGGCUGAUGCCUGGCCAGUGUCCGAACGUUAAGGGGAUGGGUUAGUUUUUAUUAACAAAGCCUUGAACCUAAGCGCGGAUGAACGCCGGCCGUAACUAUAACGGUCCUAAGGUAGCGAAAUUCCUUGUCGGGUAAGUUCCGACCUGCANNUUCCGACCUGCACGAAUGGCAUAACGACUGGGAGACUGUCUCAACGAGGGACUCGGCGAAAUUGCAAGAGGAGUGAAGAUGCUCUUUACCCGCGGCUGGACGAAAAGACCCCGUGAAGCUUUACUACAGCUUGCUAUUGGGUGUAUGCUUCGCAUGUUCAGCAUAGGUGGGAGCCUUCGGGCACCAGUGAGAUACCACCCUUGUGCUGUGUGCAUUCUAAUUCCGAGCCGUUAUCCGGUUUGGAAGACAGUAGCUGGUGGGUAGUUUAACUGGGGCGGUUGCCUCCCAAAAUGUAACGGAGGCGUUUACAAAGGUUGGCUUGGUCCGGAUGGAAAUCGGACUGAAAGUGCAAACGCAUAAGCCAGCUUUACUGCAAGACCUACAAGUCGAGCAGUUGCGAAAGCAGAAGUUAGUGAUCCGACCGUACGAUAUAGGACGGCGGAAGCUCAACGGAUAAAAGCUACUCCGGGGAUAACAGGCUGAUCCCGUCCAAGAGUCCACAUCGACGGCGGGGUUUGGCACCUCGAUGUCGGCUCAUCGCAUCCUGGGGCUGGAGAAGGUCCCAAGGGUUUGGCUGUUCGCCAAUUAAAGCGGUACGCGAGCUGGGUUCAGAACGUCGUGAGACAGUUCGGUCUCCUAUCCGCCGUGGGCGUCGAAAUUUGAGGGGGCUCGCCUCUAGUACGAGAGGACCGAGGCGAACGAACCUCUAGUGUACCAGUUGUCCCGCCAGGGGCACCGCUGGGUAGCUAUGUUCGGAAUGGAUAAGCGCUGAAAGCAUCUAAGCGCGAAGCCGUCCCCAAGAUUAGAUUUCAUUUGAGACUCCUUCGAGACGAGGAGGUUGAUAGGCUCUAGGUGUAAGCCCAGCAAUGGGUUAAGCCGAGGAGUACUAAUCAGUCGAUUUCUACAACCAUUUAAGUUUUUUAGUGUU